CCCUACGGGGUGCACCAGGCGCGAAACCUCUGCAAUAGGCGAAAGCCUGACAGGGUUACUCUGAGUGAUUUCCGCUAAGGAGAUCUUUUGGCACCUCUAAAAAUGGUGCAGAAUAAGGGGUGGGCAAGUCUGGUGUCAGCCGCCGCGGUAA
rnacentral:rRNA from 1 species